rnacentral:rRNA from 1 species
GACGAACGCUGGCGGCGUGCCUAACACAUGCAAGUCGAGCGGAGUCGAUCGACGGAAGCCUUCGGGCGGAAGAUGGUUGACUUAGCGGCGGAUGGGUGAGUAACGCGUGGGCAACCUGCCUCGAAGACCGGGAUAACAGCCCGAAAGGGCUGCUAAUACCGGAUGUGGUCAAGGAUCCGCAUGGAUUUUUGAUUAAAGGGGAAACCCGUUUCGAGAUGGGCCCGCGUCCUAUCAGCUAGUUGGUGAGGUAAAAGCUCACCAAGGCGACGACGGGUAGCCGGCCUGAGAGGGUGACCGGCCACACUGGAACUGAGACACGGUCCAGACUCCUACGGGGGGCAGCAGUGGGGAAUCUUCCACAAUGGGCGAAAGCCUGAUGGAGCGACGCCGCGUGAGCGAAGAAGGCCUUCGGGUUGUAAAGCUCUGUCUGGAGGGACGAAGGAAGUGACGGUACCUCCGGAGGAAGCCACGGCUAACUACGUGCCAGCAGCCGCGGUAAGAUCGACGUGUA